GAUGAACGCUGGCGGCGUGCCUAAUACAUGCAAGUCGAGCGAACAGAUAAGGAGCUUGCUCCUUUGAAGAUAGCGGCGGACGGGUGAGUAACACGUGGGUAACCUACCUAUAAGACUGGGAUAACUUCGGGAAACCGGAGCUAAUACCGGAUAACAUUUAGAACCGCAUGGUUCUAAAGUGAAAGAUGGUUUUGCUAUCACUUAUAGAUGGACCCGCGCCGUAUUAGCUAGUUGGUAAGGUAACGGCUUACCAAGGCGACGAUACGUAGCCGACCUGAGAGGGUGAUCGGCCACACUGGAACUGAGACACGGUCCAGACUCCUACGGGAGGCAGCAGUAGGGAAUCUUCCGCAAUGGGCGAAAGCCUGACGGAGCAACGCCGCGUGAGUGAUGAAGGGUUUCGGCUCGUAAAACUCUGUUAUUAGGGAAGAACAAAUGUGUAAGUAACUGUGCACAUCUUGACGGUACCUAAUCAGAAAGCCACGGCUAACUACGUG
rnacentral:rRNA from 1 species